rnacentral:rRNA from 1 species
AUGUACAUUCCUACAACAUCAAUGCACCAAAACCCAUUAUACUCUGCAGUUAAUCUCCCUUGGGCUAGAGUAGUAUUAGAGUGGGUGACCUCCCGAGAAGUCCUAUUAUUUUACAUG